rnacentral:misc_RNA from 1 species
UCUCGGCCUAUCACCGGCAGUCCCCUUAGAGUGCCCAACCAAAUGAUGGCAACUAAGGGCGAGGGUUGCGCUCGUUGCGGGACUUAACCCAACAUCUCACGACACGAGCUGACGACAGCCAUGCAGCACCUGUGUUCCAGCCAGCCGAACUGAAGAGACCCGUCUCCGGGCCCCAUACUGGACAUGUCAAAGGUUGGUAAGGUUCUGCGCGUUGCUUCGAAUUAAACCACAUGCUCCGCUGCUUGUGCGGGUCCCCGUCAAUUCCUUUGAGUUUUAGCCUUGCGGCCGUACUCCCCAGGCGGGGUGCUUAAUGCGUUUGCGACGGCACGGAAGGGGUUGAUGCCUCCCACACCUAGCACCCAACGUUUACGGCUGGGACUAC